rnacentral:rRNA from 1 species
CCAGACUCCUACGGGAGGCAGCAGUGGGGAAUAUUGCACAAUGGGGGGAACCCUGAUGCAGCGACGCCGCGUGGGUGAAGGAGCACCUCGGUGCGUAAAGCCCUAUCGGCAGGGAAGAAAAGCGAACAGGUUCGCCUGGACGGUACCUGACUAAGAAGCCCCGGCUAACUACGUGCCAGCAGCCGCGGUAAUACGUAGGGGGCAAGCGUUAUCCGGAUUCACUGGGUGUAAAGGGAGCGUAGACGGCGACGCAAGUCUGGAGUGAAAAUCCAGCGCUUAACGUUGGAAGUGCUUUGGAAACUGCCGGGCUGGAGUGCAGGAGGGGCAGGCGGAAUUCCUAGUGUAGCGGUGAAAUGCGUAGAUAUCAGGAGGAACACCGGCGGCGAAGGCGGCCUGCUGGACCGUGACUGACGUUGAGGCUCGAGAGCGUGGGGAGCAAACAGGAUUAGAUACCCCUGUAAGA